rnacentral:rRNA from 1 species
AGAAACUUUUUCCUGCCACCGAAUACAUUAGCAUGGGAUAAUGGAAUAGGACCCUGACCUCCUAUUUUCAGUUGGUUUUGUUUACAGUGAGGUUCAUCAGGGUAAUGAUUAAUAGGGAUAGUUGGGGGCAUUAAUAUUUAAUUGUCAGAGGUGAAAUUCUUGGAUUUAUGAAAGAUUAACUUCUGCGAAAGCGUUUGCCAAGGAUGUUUUCAUUAAUCAAGAACGAAAGUUAGGGGAUCGAAGACGAUCAGAUACCGUCGUAGUCUUAACCAUAAACGAUGCCGACCAGCGAUUAGGAGACGUUGAAUACAAAACACCGCCUUAAUCCUU